GUCAGCGUGAGGGGUUAUGGCGGUUUGGGCCGAAUACGUGUCGUGCGUGCUUCGGUUCACAGGGACGGUGCGGGGGGCAACGUGGCUGCUGUUCGGGUUUCUUUUCGGUCUUCGUUUUCCCUCUCCUCGUCUGCUUCCUUCGGCGGGGGGGUUUCGCGUGCCGAUUCGUUGCUGUUCUUGGUUGCUGCUCUGCCGGGUGGUGACGCCUGCCUUGCUAGCUGUGAGUUGGUGCUCCCGCUGUUUCUCCUCUUCAUCUUCCUGGUUCGUAUCGGAGGUUGAGGUGGUAGGAUCUGGUUCACCGACCACGACGGACUCUUUUUUGUGUGUGUGUUUCGGUUUUCCGGCGGCAUCGGUCUCCCUUGCAGCAGUCUCCUCCCCUCCGCUCUGCUCGAUCUGCGUCGCACUCCCUAUCGUCCUCCGUAUAGAGCGUGGGGCAGGGAUGGCCAACAUGGCUGCGGCGCGGGGAGGCAGAUAGAUUGGGUGCCGCACGAGUACCAGGGCGUCAAUGGGGCGUGGAGGAAGACAGCGGCAGCGGCCAUGGUCGGUGCCGAGCGAGCACUGGUCCAUGGGAAUGACCAACCGCCUCACUCCCUAUGAAGCAUCCACAUCGUCAUCGCCAGCCGGGAUCUAGGUCGAUGAGACCUCUACUGUCUCGCCCAGGGGAUCCAGUAAGAUGGCGCCAAUCCCAGGGUUUUGAAGCGAUGAACUUACUGUUUUGCUUUGGUCCCUGCUAUUCUCUUCAGUCAAGCAUUUUUUUUUGCAGGUUAAAAACUUCAUUAAUCAAAGAUAUGAACAGAGUCUUGGCGCAAAGCGUCAAUUGCAAAUUGAGGUUUUUCAUCCAACCAGAUUUCAGAAGAAGCAUUGGUUCUCGCAAAAUUAGCUAGCGUGUAGCUAACAUUAUUCUGACUUCUCGAGCAUUUGACCAUCUUGACGCCUUCACGCUCCUGGAGGAGGCUGCAGAUUGCAUCCACAGUGUUGCAGUACUUGGACAAGUUUGGUUUUGCAGGAUCCACAAGAGCCAGGACUUCAGAACUGUCAGUUUCUACAGUGAACGGCAUCGUGGAGAACUGCAAGGCCAGUCGUAUUCCUUCUGUCAUCUUUUUAGCAUUUAAUUGCGCAAUGGCUUGUUCUUUUAUUGGGUCUUUUUGGUUUCACUAUAUUGUAACAAUUCAUGUCUAUGCUUCUGGGCGUGAUGUAAUUUUUUGUGUGGUUGUGAGGAUUAAUACCGUGCAUCAACAUUUUAGGUGAAGAUUGGAUGUUUCGUUCUAGGACAAUGCCAUCAGAUAUUUUAAAUGUUGCCGCCUUGGUUAAUGUUGAGUUACCCGGGUGAGGCCCAUCAAACAAGAAUGUCGGGUCAUUUUUGUGGAUAUAGGGACUGUUAUUGGAUGAUUGCUGCAUGUAUCUGGUCCAUUCUCAACAAUUAAAUUCUUGGUUGUACCCUUUCAUUGAGCUGUUUUAAGAUUCCCUCGAGGUUACAAUCUGGUUCUUUAUGGGCAGGCACAAACUUAUCUUCAGUUUU